rnacentral:rRNA from 47 species
UCCCACCUGACCCCAUGCCGAACUCAGAAGUGAAACGCCGUAGCGCCGAUGGUAGUGUGGGGUCUCCCCAUGCGAGAGUAGGGAACUGCCAGGC